rnacentral:rRNA from 1 species
GGCAUGGCGCAGCUACACAUGCAGUCCGAACGGUAGCACAGAGAAGCUUGCUCCUCCGGGUGACGAGUGGCGGACGGGUGAGUAAUGUCUGGGAAACUGCCUGAUGGAGGGGGAUAACUACUGGAAACGGUAGCUAAUACCGCAUAACGUCGCAAGACCAAAGAGGGGGACCUUCGGGCCUCUUGCCAUCAGAUGUGCCCAGAUGGGAUUAGCUAGUAGGUGGGGUAACGGCUCACCUAGGCGACGAUCCCUAGCUGGUCUGAGAGGAUGACCAGCCACACUGGAACUGAGACACGGUCCAGACUCCUACGGGAGGCAGCAGUGGGGAAUAUUGCACAAUGGGCGCAAGCCUGAUGCAGCCAUGCCGCGUGUAUGAAGAAGGCCUUCGGGUUGUAAAGUACUUUCAGCGGGGAGGAAGGUGUUGUGGUUAAUAACCGCAGCAAUUGACGUUACCCGCAGAAGAAGCACCGGCUAACUCCGUGCCAGCAGCCGCGGUAAUACGGAGGGUGCAAGCGUUAAUCGGAAUUACUGGGCGUAAAGCGCACGCAGGCGGUCUGUCAAGUCGGAUGUGAAAUCCCCGGGCUCAACCUGGGAACUGCAUUCGAAACUGGCAGGCUGGAGUCUUGUAGAGGGGGGUAGAAUUCCAGGUGUAGCGGUGAAAUGCGUAAAGAUCUGGAGGAAUACCGGUGGCGAAGGCGGC